GUGUGGCGUGUAAAUUCUCACUAACCGUCACGGAAAAUAAUAAAAAGGUAAAAUUUACCGAGAUAAAAAGGUGAAUGCUUGUGAAAUCCAAAAAGGUAACUUUUACCUCACCGAGGUGAAACUCACCUCGGAACGAGGUAAAGUUUACCUGAAUCAAGCAGACAAAAAAGGUAGAAUUCACCUAGAAAAAAAAGGUAAAUGCAAAAAAGGUACUUUCUACUUCUUCGAGGUAUAGCUUACCUCGUAGCGAGGUGAAGUUGACCUGGAUUGCGCUGAACAAAACGGUACAAUUCACCUCGAAAAAAAGGUAACUAUUUAUCGAAUCCGUUUAUUGAGGUUAAGUGGUUAGUUCAUUCAGGAAUAAGUGUUGUUUCGCCUACUGAGCUAGGAAAUGUUUUCCUCUUUAAUCCGGAAAAGCGAAUAUUAUCCUCCAGCUGGCCGGAUUAGUCGGAGAAGAGGUGGAACAGUUUUUUUUUUUCAUUUGGAAACAUGUUUUGCAUGAUGCACAAUAACAAUCGGAACUCGAAACAAAAUCAACAAUCAACGGAACAAGUGCCAAAAUGAUGCAUAAUAAUAUUCCAUCGAUAUACUGCUCAUCAAGAACGGAUCUGCUGAAAACCGUUCCGAAACUGGGUUAAGCCAGCUGUGGACCAUCGGGCGAUUCCUGGAUGCGGAACUCCGAACACGCACGGCAUUUCAUCUCUCCCCGCGGCCACAACAAGUUAAGGUGCUCCUGCGUGUUAUUCUUCCAAGCUGAACUGUUGGAGUGUAUUCGGGUUCAGAACCUUCAAAUUUUCGUUUACCAUUAUCCGGAAAAGUAUAAAGGGAAAAAAACGGUGAUUAAAUGGCCGGAUCGUCACGAAAAAGUUUUCGUUGUUUGGGAGGAGGAAGCUGUGUUGGUCUGGUAAUCGCUCGAAGUAAGGCGGAAGGCCGACGUAGAAAAACCGAGUAUGGAAUACUAUCCAUGGCACCACCCCUGGUUCGAAAGUCGCAGCUGCAGCUGAUGCACAUUUUUUGGUUAUUUCCGACAAAGCGGAAGCUAGUCGCCCAUCGUGCCGUAUGCAAGAGGCUGAUAAAAAUUUGCAAUGCUGUUCAUUAGGAUCAUAGUUCCUCUGUUAUUCAUCCUGUUGCUCUUCGAAACUGAAUGACAACAAAACGGAUUCAAUCGGAAAUCCAAACAAUUGGGCACACAGGAACCCUGGCGAUAGGAUGUCCGGUUGAAGCUACCCGGUUGGAGCAGAGAUUCGUCUCCUGUAAAUUACAAAGGUCACGAUGGAACUAAAUUGGUAGCCUUGUCCAUUAAGUUGAGAGGAUUUCUUGAAGGCUCCACCGAAAGCCGUUACCUUCACCCAAAAUUUAAGUUUGAUUGUGAGAUUUGGUUUUUGUAUAUUGAAGGUUUUGAACGACUCGUUGCAUUCAAUGAAUUAAAUAACGGCUCACGAAAAUAUUCCAAAUUUACCAAUAUUUUAUAAGAUGUAAGAAAAUGUUUAUAUAGAAGACAUAUAUAACUGCUGAAAC